rnacentral:lncRNA from 1 species
GACUUAGGGGGAACAUUCCAGACAGCAUUGGAAACUUGAGCAAUUUAGUUUUUUUAGGUCUACGUGACAAUAGUUGGACUGGAUCAAUUCCAACUUCGAUAUGGGGUUUGCAAAAGCUUCGGUAUUUGAAUCUUAUCAAUAUUUCCCUCACUGGUCCGCUCGCUCGUGGUCUCUGUGGUUUGCAGAGUUUGGAGUAUUUAUACCUAAGUCAAAAUCAGAUUAGCGAUUCAAUUCCAGGAUGUUUCAAUAAUCUUACAUCUUUGAAAUAUCUUAACAUUGCUUUCAAUAGAUUAACCUCUACUUUGCCAAUGAGCUUGUGGGAUCUUAAAGGUCUUGUGUAUGUCAACUUGUCGUCGAAUUUCUUGAGAGGACCUUUGGCUCCAGAGAUGGGAGAAUUAAAGAAUUUGACAAGGUUAGACUUGUCAAACAACCAGUUUUCAGGCAAAAUCCCCAGUACUAUUUGGAGUUUAGAGAGUUUGGACCAUCUUUCUUUAUCAAAUAACAGUUUGAGAGGACCAAUCCCGGACAGUCUUUGAAUUGGUACCUUUGAGUUUGGGCCUAGAAAAUUAGCCUAUUACAGAGUAACCUCUCUGGUCAGAUUCCCUAAUACUUAAAUAUUCACUUUAUAGAAUUAAGCGGUGACUCAUGUAUUCUUGCUCUGUAAUAAAUUAAGGCUUGUGUAGAAUUUUUUAUUCCAAUAUCCACCAUACCAAGCUAUUCUAAACAAUAAAUUCAAGGACAAUAAAGGUGUCUAUGCAUAUAUUUAUUGUGCCAGAACUAUUCUGAUAUUUUUUUAAUAAAAAUUCAAUUAGGAAGUGAAAAUUUCUCCUAACUAACAAAAGAUAUAAAGAAAAUAAAUGUUUAUUGUUACAAUGUUAGCCCAUGGAAAAAAAAUUAGAGUUGUCUAGUUCAUUUAAAGUGAUGGUAAUCUUUUUUUUUUUAAUUCAAAAAAAUGUGGCCUCUUGGAAGGCACAUUUUCUUUUACCAGUGAAAAUUUUGGAUUUUUUCUUUAAAAUAUGUAGUAUACUUUUUCUUUGUCGGCACCAUCACUCUCACGUCAAAAUUGGAAAACUACAGUCGAAUAGCUUUUGGUACGAUAAUUGAAGACUAAAGGUUAGUUUUGUAAUUUUCUUGUUGCUUUGGUGAAAAUAAUAAUAUAACAGACCGGCAUUAUGGAAAGUAAGGUUAAAGAUAUUUGCAGCAAAUGACUGACACAAAUUCACUUGUUCUUCCACUUGAAGUUCGUGUCAUGGAAUAUGGAGAACAGCCCCGAUUAAUCUGUCUAUUAAUUUAAGUAUGCGUGAAACAAAAAAGUUGAAAAAUAGUAAGGGAGCCAUCAAUAUUUGUUUUUGGUCCUUUUAGCAUUAUUUUGCCCAGGACUUUUUUUUGCGUCUUUCUCAAAGGCUUGGAGGUGGCAAAGGUGAAGUACAUAUAUACAACAUUAAUAUCAGUUGAGGAUCAUAUAGUACAAAAAUAAUAUAUAUAUAUAUAUAUAUAUAUAUAUAUACACCGAUUAAAACCACUAUUAGUUGACAAGAAUAUGUUUAUAGUACUGUAGGGAUACCGGCGUGAUUAAUGAGUUACUUCUAAAUACAUGAAUCAUGCCAUAAGACCUGUGCAAUGGCCCCAAUAAUUUCUUAACGAUGGGAAUGGAAAAUUGAACCUCAUGUAAUUGAAGCUCUCUCUGUUUGGUCAUUACCAAUUGAGUAACCCCUUGAGAGUUGUCAAGGAUAAACUUCAUUCGUACACCCAACAAUUUACACAUUUUUUUGUUUUAAAAGAUACGUUGAUAUACAUAAUAUUGUUGAUCGUACAACUUUAUUUAACUCAUCUGUAAUUUUGUAUUUGUUUAUACCACUUUUUGGGUUUCUUUUAAUAUCAUCCGUGAGUGAACUUACACACCACUCCAACCAACAUAUUGCUCUUCAUCGAAUCACUAAUUGAGCAAUUGAUAAGACUGGACAUUUUGUAGGUUAGUAUGUUUGCUAUGAUUAAGCGAUUACAUGAGGACUGAAAAUUCUCGACUUGUGAUUUUGCUGCCAUCACUUUUUGUAUUAUGGAAAUAGAAAGUGGACAACUACAGAAGCUAAUAAAGUGUUUCUAAUGCUAUAUAAUAUCAACAAUUCAUUCCUUGACUUAUUUUUCAACCUUUCCGUUUUUUUUUUUUUUGGAGCAUAACCUUCCCGUUUUUUAUCAUUUUUCGUAUUCUAUAGUCUCGUAAUGUAGUUCAUUUAUUUGUUGAAAUGAAUCUGGGCCAGUUUUUACCAAUUUAUUUGCUGGUGCAUUGGUGGGUGAGGGUAGAGAAACUUAUGUCUUAGACCCAAAAGUAUUUGUCUUGCUUUCGUCUCAAAACAACACCCAGGCCGACAAUUAAUUAGUCACUGGUCUUAGUAUGUAAAUACAGCCCAGGCCCAGCAGCAUGAUAUUGUACUGAUAACAAAGACAUCACUUGUAAUCGUAAGGCGAUUGAUUCCACUCUCACACGGUCACACCCUUCCCUUUUUUCUUCUUCUUCUUUUUUUUUUUUUGUUUUUUGUUUUUUGCUUUGUGUUUCAUUGUAAGGUUUGAAGUUUUAUAUGACGCAUACAAACUAAAAGAUAAUCCAUGUCAAAAUUUAAAAAAAAAAUUUGUAUUUUUAUAGGUGAAGUCAUAUAACCUUCAAGCCUUCUGUCUAAAUUAAUAUUUCUAUCUACCAAUUUUCAUUUCGAGUUGACUAAAGUCAACCAUGGACAGAAUUCAACCUUAAUUGCUACGGCCCUAGAAAACAUAAACGGCAACUUCUUGACAGGUUGAUUUUAAACGGCAAGUUAGGUGUUUCAUUUCGAGUUGAAUUGACAGGUUUGAUUUUAAAUGAGGUUGGCAACUUCUUGAAAUUGGAGCAACCUAACUUGCAAUUUAGCAAAUUUCACUUCCUCGAUGCAAGCCGUGAUCUUCAACAUCUCAACACUCAGGAUUUUCUCACUUUUAGGCAAUCAUUUAUCUGGCAAUCUUCCAUCAAAAUAUGUGCUGUGGCCGGUACAAUUUGGAAGGACUUUAUCAUGCUGAGAACAACUUCACUGGAGCUAUAGCAGUAUCUAUCCCAAACUGUUCAAAGCUGAAUUUUACUCUCAUGGUUAUAACAAAUUCAGUGGUGGAAUUCCUAUUUCCAUUGGCAAACCAAGACACCUCGAAUUUUUAGAGCUAAUUGAUAACAAUUUGACAAGUGAAUCUUCAUCUCCAGAUUUGAACCACUUCAUUUCCUAGGCCGGUUGCAUCUCUCCAGGGAAGACCUCAGUGUCAGGAAAUCCGUUGAAUGGGGUUCUCCCAAUUUCAAUUGGAAUCCCUCUAGUUCUGUUGAAAAGUUUUAUGCAGAAAACUGUGGAAUCAAGGGUAACAUUCCAUGGAGCAUUGGAAGCUUGAGCAAUCAUUUGACUGGCUUCAUCCCUUCUACGAUUAAUGGGUUCACAAGCUGCAAGGGUUGUUGUAUCUCCAAAAUAAUUCUAUGAGUGGUUCCCUAUUUGGUGAUCUCUGUGGUUUACAGAGUUUGAAUAUAUAUAUACACGUCUAAGCCAAAACCAGAUUUCUGACUCAAUUCCAGAAUGCUUCGGUAACCUCACAUCUUUGAGGUCUUUUUAUAUAGCUUUCAAUAGAUUAACCUCUACUCUACCAAGGACCCUGUGGAAUCGCAAAGAUUUUCGAAAAUUUCAGUAGCCGCUGGCACAUUUUGCCCAGUACAAUAAGUGCCUUAGUUUGCAUUUAAGGUUUGCAUUUUGCCCAGUACAAUAAAUAUAAGAUGAAUUUUUUUUAAAAUUUUUUGGUAGUAAUUCAACUUUUAUUGCUGUGGCAAGGAAUACAAAUUAUUACAAACAACUUGAUACCUGGGACUUUCCUCCAACUAGCCACUGCACUUGUGAUGACUUUCCUCCAAAUUAUUGUGGGAAGCAUACAGGAAAACAUGUGCCACAAUCUUUCCAAACUCGAAUGGAUUGAUCUAAAUAGUAAUCUUCUACAAAUUUGAGCAAAUGCUCAUCACUCAGAUAUUUGUCAUUGGCAGUCAACGAAUCGAGUGAAUCAGUACCGAGGGAGCUUGGAAAUCUAACCAUGCUUGAAGAACUAUGGUCUUGAUAUACCUCAGUGCAACGAGAGGGUAAGAAGUUCUAAAUUUUCAGCUAGCGAGGAUAUAUUACUCUACUUGUAUUUGGUGGCUAAGGACCUUUUAAAUCAAAUCGACAGGUUUAAAGACUUCAUUGAAACUUAUCACAGUUAAGAGGCCAAAUGAAAACAUUGUGGUGAAGUUUCGGGAUGAUUAAAGUCUUUAUCCUUUUUUUUUUUCCUCGUCAAUCUUAAAACUUUCGUGGGUAUUUGAUUUUGCAGGUGAAAUACCGAAAGAGAUCUGUAAUCUCUGCGGCCUUAAGUCAUUACACCUAUCAAAUAACAUGCUCAGGGUUCCAUUACCGGUGGAGAUAUAUAACAUGUCGAAGUUAAGUGUCAUUGCCUUGAACAAUAACAGCGUAUCUGGAUCCCUCUCAGAAAGUAUAUGCGAUCAGCUUCCAGAACUUGAACGUUUAUAUCUAUAUGAAAACAAUUUGGAAGGCCAAUUGCCAAGAAACUUAUUCAGAUGUCCUGCGCUUACAGUUCCCCAUCUAAAGAGGAACAAAUUCAAUGGAGAAAUACCACAUGAGAUUGGCAAUUUGACUAUGCUUAAGGUCCUAUAUCAAAAUGACAACCAUUUGACAGGUAUAUCUAUAUCUAUACUCCGGUUGUCAGGUAUAUCUAGAGGUGUCAAAAUGGAUGAUUUGGACGGGUUUGGGUUGGGUAAAAUGGGUAAUGGAUAUAAAUGAGUCAAUCCAUUUAUACCCAUUUAAUUAGAUGGGUAUAAAUGGGUAAGUCAAAAAAUGAAUUGGAUAACCCAGUUAUCCAUUUAUAACGCAUUUAUUUUAACUUUUGUAAACUCAUUUAAAUUCAUUUUUGCAAACUAAGUUAUCAAUUUAUACUACUUUUUGCACCCAUCAUUAGUUUUAAAUAUUUACUUAUAAUGUUCAAUAAGUCUAAUUAUCAAUUUUUUUUUAUCCGUACUCUAUGUCGCAAAAUUACAUACUAUUAAAUAAUUGAAUAAUAAAAAUACAAAAAUUUAAAUUAAGUACUAUAAAAAUUAACAUAAAAAUUAAUCCAAAAAUUUUGAACCCCUAAUAUUUUUUUCAUGUGUAAAUUUAAAAUUUCAUUUUGAAAAUGUAGGAAAAGAGGCUAAAACUUUAUCAUAAAUUGGUAAUGCUAAAAAAUGAGUAAGUUAACAAAUUAAGAGAAAAUAAAAUGAUAAAAUAAAACCAACAAAUAACAAUAAUAAUGAAACAAAAGUAGUUAACAUCAUAACAAAAUGAAAAAUCUGAAAAAAAAAAUAGGGGCGGGAAGAGAGGAGAUUUGGGGGAAAAUAAUUCUAAAUGAGUUAAUUGGGUUUGAUGGGUUACCCAAUAAUACCCAUUUAAUAAAUGGAUAUUAUUGGGUAACCCAUUUAUACCCAUAUGCAAAACUUAAGAUACCCAUACCUAUCUAUUCAUGAACGGGUACGGGUAAAUUUAAUUAAAUGGGUUGAUUUGCCACCUAUAGGUAUAUCUAUAUCUAUACCCCUUAUAAAAGUAAAGUUCAAAGUACCUUUCUCCUUUAUCAUUAUUGUUAUGAUAGUAGUCAAUAAUUAUAGCAGUUAUGAAGAAAAAAUUGUACACUUAAUUAAAUUUGAACUAUAGAACUCCAAUCUAUGCUCCUUAUAAAAGUUGCGUUGAGUCUAGAUAAAUUAGUGUAAGUUGGUCUUAGUUCUCUACUAUGUUCAAAACACCCUUCUUCAUAAUUAUUAGAUUUAUUGUAUUAUGAGAGUAGUUAAUAAUUAUACCAGUUAUGAAGAAAAAACUGUAAACUUAAUUGAAUUUGCAUUACAGCACUCCAAUCUAAUUUGUUGUUCGUUCUUAGGAGUCUUUGUCAUUUGUACUUUAUUUUAAUGAUUUGGCUUGACUAUUUGAAAAAUGAAUUAAUUUAAAUUUACUGGGUAUAAUGGAGUCAUGGAGGGGAUAUUUGGGAGUGAAAAAAUAGUAUAGCAUGAGUCUUAGAUUAACAGAAAAAAAAAAAGCAAAUAUACUGAGCCUAAUGCCUCUAUAGAUUUUGUAUAUAAUUUAAUUUAAAAAUUUACCUUAUAAGAAUUAAUGAAUUCUAUAAAUUGAUCCUAAUGCCAUCUAAAUUUUGAUAUCAUAGUUUGAACUAUUACUUUAUAAGUAUUAAUGAAUUUUAUAAAUUGAUCCUAACGUCCCUUUAGAUUUUGAUAUUAUAGUUUAAACCUUUACUUUAUAAGUAUUUAUAAAUUCUAUUUGCUAGUACUCCAACACUUGAGAUAUACAUUUUUCUCACCUAAGGACAUUGUUUUGUGUAUAAAAAAUUUGAAAAAAUUCCUCAAAGAAAUCUUUACAAAUGAGGGAUACCUCUAGCUUGUUUCAAUUUAAAUUAUAUUUUUAAGAAUAGUUGAUUAAAGAAGAUGGAAAAUAUGCAAAUAUUAAAUUACGAUGUUAAUAAUAGAAUUUCACAAGAAAAAUUAAAGUACAAAGGAGAUAUUAUAUUUAAUGAUACUAUAAUCAUGUGCAAAACACAUGACCUCCCUUGAGCUUUACCUUGCUUAAGUAUCAAAAAUUACAAUUACUCUUUUGGCGACACAAUUGCUAUGAUAAUCUUGAAAAGAAUACUAAUACCCAAAUUUGCAAAAACCGAAAAGCAAAAAAAAAAAGAAGAGAGAAAAUAAUAAUUAUGAUCAAUGAUGAUUGAAAUAAAAUUUUUUAAAACCAUAUAAGGUUAUUUUUGCAAAAUUUGAGUACAACCAUUUUAUUAUGUCUAAAAAUAAAAAUUUCAAUAUCUGAGGAACGUACAUGAAACUAAGCUAAAUCUUGGGAGAGAUGCAAGGAGUUAUGCUUAAAAUGUGAGUGCAGAUGUUUUUGCAAAUUUCCAUGAAAGUUCAAAAGGAACCACACUUCAUUUUGACUAAUUGAGUGUUUUCAAUUGAACUGCAUACAUUACACGGUGGGACUGAGAACUGAUGAAUUUGAAUAAAAUCAUUAGUUUGUUCAUAACAUUUAACGGUAGCUCCUUAUCAUCUUUGAUGGUUCAAUAACAUAAUAUACACUUCGUGUUUUGAAGGGUCAAACAAGUCAGGUCUUCCUAUAGUUUAAGUCAUCGGUCAAAAUUGAAUAUUAAAUUCCCACUACUCUAUAACAUCAACUAAUUAAUAAACAUCUUUAGUUUCCACAAGUCUUUGCCAAAAUUUCCACGCCAACUGGCGUGUCAAAUAUGGAGAUGAUCUUUUUUCCCUCGUCACAACGUACUUGUGAGCGGCAGAAUUUAUGGGAAGAAGAUUCAUAUGGUUAUGUUAAGGGUAUUUGUUAUCAAAUGACAAGUUGCACAACAAAUGAAUGUCCAAUAAUCGAAACCACAAAUUCUAUGUGCAUAUGAACAAACUGGAAGCACUAAAUCACAAGAUGUACAAAGAUAAAACCAAAUAACAGGGCGUAGGAAUUAAAUGGAUGGUACAAGUUAAUAUAUUAUUAAUUUAUUUAGAUUUCUUUUAAUUUAAACUUACCACAAUUAAGGAAUCCUAAUCAAAGGAAAAAAAAAAAGGGAAAGACAACCUUUUUCCACCUUGCAUUAAUUUGGAAGACAUAGAUGUUAAAGUAUUUCAUAUUGUUUGAUCAAAUCAAUCUUUUUGUUUCCAUUCCAAUUGUGAGACAAGUCUAGGUUUUCGUCUUUCAUUUGUCUAAACUUUAUGUAUUUCUCUAAACCUUCCACUGAUAUUUGAUAUUUCUAAUUAAAUCUUUUCUUGGCUUCUAACAUUUUUCUUCUUGAUUUUUCCAUGACUUUCCCCCCUUCAUUUCCAUUGUAGAAAGAUAUACUUACCUUCCAUUUUAUUUGGAUUUUCAUCUUGUACGAAACUGUACAUAAAUUGCAUUACACAAUAUCAUUAAUUACAUGACCAAUUCUAUUCAAGUUUAUACAUUCCGUCAAAAUAUUUUACAUGCUUCUGUCUUUUUUUUUUUGGCCCUAAGAACAUCUAUUUUAGAGGGAUUAUGUGGAUAAAUGCAAAAAUUAUAAGGGGAUAAAAUGAAUAUUUAUACAAACUAUAAAGGGGUUACAUAGAGAUUAAAAUUUUAUCACAUGAGCUUUUAGAGUGUGUUUGGUAUAAACGUCAUAAUUGAUUGUGCAUUCUGUCCAUUUUCCAUUGUAUAUAAAAUUAUAGAGGGGUUAUGUGGCUAUUUUAAAAUCUUAGAGGGGUCAUCUUGCAUUAUGUAAAAUCUUAGGGGGAAUACAAGUAAUUUACCAUAUAUUACAUGGUGGGACUGUGACAGGCGUCAAACCUGUGCAAUAAUAAAUACCUGCUUAAAUAAAAUACAAAUUCUGUAUAUAGCGGUAAGCAGGGUCGAAUCCACAGGGACUGGGGAUAAUUUAAUUUCUUCUCAAGUUCCAGAUAUGGGGGGUUUUGAAAAUGAUAGUAACUAAAUUACUUGGAAUAAAUUAAAAUAAAAUAAAACAACUACACUCAAAUAACUAAUUAUCACAAUAAAAAUAAUAAUGGACGAACUCUAGCCAAGAGACAACUUCGGAGAUGGUUCACUUAAUUCGAUCACAGAUGCAAGGAUUAUUCCAGUUACUAUCUGAUAAAUUAGUUAUAGUUGUCAUACACGCGAUAAACAACCAACUCUUCCUUAAUUUGUCGAUAGCCAAGGUACGAUCGUUGACUAUUUCUCUAAUAAGGAAAUAACCCUAGGUACGACCAUAGAAGUUCAAUUCCCUAAUUGCAUGAAUAAUUAGAAGAGCCUAAUUCUAACCAAUCAACACGCUACGAGGGUCUCUUUAAGUUAGCCUGCCUAUCUCCCUGACACAAACCCAAUCAUGCCAGUUGCCACCAGUUUAGAAUAAUUAAACAAUUACGGAUUUAACUACCCUAAUUGGCUUCAGGUUAUUGAAUUAAUCUAGAAUCCGGGCCCUGAAUAAUCGAAUAAUAAAACAACCAUAUGAACAUAAAGCAGAAGACAGACAAAUACCAGUGAAUAAUGGGAAUAAAUAAAAACUAAUUCGAUCUCACAAAUUUAGUAGAACCAAAUCCUCCGUUGUUCUUGACUAGACAAACUUAGCCACGCCUCAUGAGAAAAUCUUCAAGUAAUUCCACUGAGAUCCAGGCCAUCAAAAGAGCCAAGAAAGAAACGAAAAAACUAAAACUAUCCUAAAGCUUCGAUAAGAACUAAAGAUAAAAAGUAUUCCCUCCCUAAAACCUUCUCUACGUUUUUCUUUUUAAAGCCAAAGGGAACAAUGACAUAAUGCUUCCUACUCCGUGGUCCCCACCAAAAUUGAAAGCCAAGGAAAGAAUACAAAAGCUGCGGCUCAAUUUUCUUUUUGUUUCCUCGGUUCCUAGGGCUCUCAUGGCCCUUUCUUCAUCAGCUCAAUAAGGGCCAAAGGGAAAUCCAUUUGUUUCCUCUCUUGUGGGCCACGUUGAGUGGGCCUUGCAGAAGACUCCCAUGUGUGCAGUAAAUUGCUCAGAAAGUCCUUCCUUUUUUGUAGUUUCUGUUCCAUUCCCUGAAAUUAAAUCCAAAUACCAAAUAUAAAUAAAUAUUAAUAAUUAAAACAAUAUUUGGCAAAGACAAAGGGGAAAUUAAUAAUAAAAUAACCAACAAUUAACACCCUAUCAGACUGCAACUUAACAGAACUAAUGGAUUUGAAUAAAACAUUAAAGUUUGUUCAUAACAUCUAAGGUAGUUCCACCUUUGACGAUUCAAUAAGGCAAUAUGCAUUUCGUCUCUUGAAGGGUCAAACAAGUCAAGUCUUCCUAUUAUUUAAAAGUCGUUUUCAAAGUUGAAUAUUAAAUUUUUUUUAGUUGGAUAUUAAAUUUCUACCACUCAUAGAACAUCAACUAAUCAAUAAAAAUAUGUAGUUUCCACGAGUCUUUGCCGAAAUUUCCACAUCAAUUGGCGUGUCAAAAAUGAAAUGUGACCAUUUUGCUAGUCAUGCCAUCAUGCGGACCCCCUCAAAUGCACAGAAGGAGACAGCCUACUGCUAAAAUUUCCAAUAAAAUUUGACCAAUUUGCUCGCUCGUCAUAAAAGUUGGAUAUUAAGUUUUCUCACAUCAACUGAUUAAUAAGAAUGUUUUAGUUUCCACAAGUCUCUGCCAAAUUUUCCACGUCAACUGGUGUGUCAAAUAUGGAGAUGAACUUUUUCUUCCUCGUCAUAAACUACUUGUCAGCGGCAGAACUUAUGGGAAGAAAAUUCAUAUGAUUAUGUUAAGGGUGUUUGUUACCAAAUGACAGGUUGAACAACAAAUGAAUCGAAAUCACAAGUUGUAUGUACAUAUGGACAAACUGUGAGUACUAAAUAACAAAGCAUAAAAAUCAAAUAACAGAAUGUAGGAAUUAAAUGGAUGGUACAAGUUAAUACAUUAUUAAUUUUUUAUAUUUCUUAUAAUUUAAAGUUACCACAAUUAAGGAAUCCUAAUUAAAGAUUAAAAAAAAAAGGAAAGACAACCUUUUUCCACCUUGCAUUAAUUUUGGAAGACACAGAUGUUAAAGACUUUCAUAUCGUUUAAUCAAAUCAAUCCUUUUGUUUCCAUUCUUCUUGUGUGACACGUCUAGCUUUUCAUCUUUCAUUUGUUUAAACCUUAUUUAUUUCUCUAAAACUUCUACUCACAUUUUAUUUUUUCUAAUCAGUUCUUUUUCUUUUUUUUUAAACAUUUUUCUUCUUGAUUUUUGAUUUUUCCACGACUUUUUUCCUUCAUUUCCAUUGCAGAACCAAAUACUUACCUUCCAUUUUGGAUUUUCAUCUUGUAAGAAAACAUACUUAAACUUGUAUCACAUCGUCAUUAAUUGCAUGAUCAAUCCUAUCGAAAGGGUAUUUGGAUAUGCUUGGGCCAUUUAGAAUUGGCUAAAACUGGUCUAGACGUUUGAGAAUAGACAAGUCAAACGAGUCUAGUCUUCCUAUAGUUUAAGACGUGGUUAAAAUUGGAUGUUAAGCUACUCUCACAUCAAGUGCUUAAUAGGAAUGUUUUAGUUUCCACAAGUCUUCGUCAACUAGCGUAUCAAAUAUGGAGAACCUAUGGGAGUCAUCUACGGUAGGAACGUAUUGAUGUUUCUUUCCACCCUAGGAAUGUGCAACACGAAGAUAUCGACAGCACAUCAAAGCAUUCUCAGUGAGAAGGCAAGCCCACGUCUAAAUUCCAUUGAGGUUUACCUUGCUUAGGUAUCAAAAAUUAAACUUAGUCUCUUAGCGCACAAUUACUAUGAUAACCUUGAAAAAGAAUAUUAAUACCCAAAUUUGCAAAAACCGAAAAGACAAAAAAAAAAGAGAGAAAAUAAUAAUUAAGAUCAAUGAUGAUUGAAAUAAAUUUUUAAAAUCAUAUAAGGUUAUUUUUGCAAAAUUUGAGUACAGUUUGAUGAUGUCACCAUUUUGGGUUUAUUAUGUCUAAAAAUACAAAUUUCAACAUCUGAGGAACGUAUAUGAAACCAUGCUAAAUAUUUGGGAGAGAUGUAAGGAGUUAUCCUUAAAAUGUGAGUGCAGAUGUUAUUGUAAAUUUCCAUCAAAGUUCAGAAAGAACCACACUUCAUUUUGACUGACAGUGUUUUCAAUUGGCAAGAGCAUAUCUAUUGUAUUACUACAUACAUUAUAUGGUGGGACUAAAACUUAAGAUAAAUGAUGUAUCUGAAUAAAACCAUUGGUUUGUUCAUAACAUUUAGAGGUAGUUUCUUACCAUCUUUGACGAUUCAAUAACGUAAUAUACACUUCAUCUUUUAAUAAAGGGUCAAACAAGUUAGACAUUUCUAUAGUUUAAGUCGUGGUCAAAGUUGAAUAUUAAGUUUCUACCACUCAUAUAAUAUUAACUAAUUAAUAAAAAUCUUUAGUUUCCACAAGUCUUUGCCAAAAUUUCCACUUCAACUGGCAUGUCAAAUAUGGAGAUGAUCUUUUUUCCCUCGCCACAAAGUACUUGUUAGCGGCAAAGGAAAGACAAUUUUUUUCCACCUUGCAUUUAUUUUGAAAGACAUAUAUGUUAAAGUCUUUCAUAAUGUUUAUGAACUGAUGAAUUUGAAUAAAACCAUAAAGUUGGUUCAUAACAUCUAACGGUAGUUCCACCUUUGACAGUUCAAUAACGUGAUAUGUACUUCGUCUUUUAAAGGGUCAAACAAGCCAAAUCUUUCUAUUGUUUAAGUCGUAAUCAAAGUUAAAUAUUAAAUUUUUUCCUAGUUGGAUAUUAAAUUUCUACUACUCAUAUAACAUCAAUCAAUCAAUAAAAAUCUAUAGUUUUCACAAGUCUUUGCCAAAAUUUCCACGUCAAUUGGCGUGUCAAAUAUGGAGAUGAUUUUUUUCCACAAUUAAGGAAUCCUAAUCAAAGGAUAAAAAGGAGAGACAACUUUUUUCCACCUUGCAUUUAUUUUGAAAGACAUAGAUGUUAAAGUCUUUCAUAUUGUUUGAUAAAAUCAAUCUUUUUGUUUUCGUUCUUCUUGUGUGACAAGUCUAACUUUUCAUCUUUCAUUUGUUUAAACCUUAUUUAUUUCUCUAAAACUUCUACUCAUAUCAACUCUUUUAUUGUUUUCUAACAUUUUUCUUCUUGAUUUUUCCGUGACUUUUCCCCUUCAUUGGCAUUGUAGAAAUAUAUACUUACAUUCCAUUUUAAUUGGAUUUUCAUCUUGUAAGAAAGUAUACUUAAAUUUGUAUCACAAAGUUAUUAAUAGCAUGAUCAAUCCUAUCAAAGAGGAUAUGUUAGCAAUAAAGUAUUUGGAUAUGCUUGGGCCAUUUAAAAUUGGCUAAAACCUGGUUGCUAAUACGAAGAGUCAAACGAGACUAGUUUUCUUUUAGUUUAAGUCGUCAUCAAAACUGGAUAUUAAAUUUCUGUCACAUUAACUAAUUAAUAAGAAUGUUUUAGUUUCCACAAGUCUUUGCCAAAAUUUCCACGUCAACAGGCGUGUCAAAUAUGGAGAACCAAUAGGAGUCAUCUAUGGUAGGUAGUGAUGUUCCUUCCUACCGUAGCACAUCAUGAGAGCAUUCUCAGUGAGAAGUCAAGCCCACGUCUAAAUUCCCACGGCAAAGAAAAAUGUGAUUUGUGGCAGGCCCCAUUGAUUAAUGAAUUUGAUAUAAAAUUUGUAUUGUUAAUGUAAACAAAACAAAUUUUCACAGUAUAAUUUUUACAUUAGUAGUUAUAAUGCUUAAGGCUGAUUGUGCUGAAAAGUAAAAAAAUAAAAGUAAAAUGAAUAGUUAUUUUGACAAUUUGUAUUUAGGUAGUUUAAUUAAAAGUGCCUAAAUACAUGGGUAAAAUUUGAUGGAUUAAAAAUAACUUAAAAAAUGAAUUUCUGGAUCGAAAUAUCUAAGAAUUGUAUACUUGGAAUGAAUGGAUGUUUCGCAUGAUAGAGAAAAAUACAAACUUUGGUGCGGGCCUGCCACUGUUAGUGCCACAAAUCAAAGUUAAUCUCUUUACUCUUACUAGGAAAAUUCAGUCACAGGAAAAUUCGUUAGCACGAGUUCCCACUGUGGUUUGAUGGAGAUGGUCUGUCUUUCCCUCCAUACAAUUUCAUUGUUAGACAGAAUCCCUUUCAUAAUCAUAAAUGCUGCUAGUAGUUGACAGCAUUUGAUCUUGAGAUACAAAUAUUGCCUCUCAAUGGAAGUAUAUAUAUACUUACUUCCCCAUAAUAGUAGUAUAUACAUACUUACUUCCCCAUCGUCAGCUCUAUUUGCCAGCUUAGUCAAAAGAAAUGGAGAGAGCAUACUAUUACUUUCCUGUAGGACUUUUAUUAGCCACUUAUCUGUUAGCCGUGGGCACAGCCGAUAUCAUAAAUGAUAAAUCUGCCCUUGUAGCUUUCAAAAAUCACGUAGUUCUUGAUCCUCACUCAAUUGUGGCAAAAAAUUGGUCCAUUUCUUACUCUGUUUGUGAUUGGAUUGGAGUUACAUGUGACUCUGGUCGUCAAAGAGUGGUGGCAUUAAAUAUUUCUUACAUGGGUUUUGCAGGCACGAUUCCUCCACAACUGGGAAACCUCUCAUUCCUUGUUUCUGUCGACAUGAGCAGCAACAGUUUUCAUGGUCAUUUGCCAGAAGGAAUGUCUCAUUUGCGUCGACUAAGUUUCAUGGCUUUAAGCAACAACAAUCUCACGGGAGAAAUUCCAUCAUGGUUGGGUGUCUUGAAUAGACUUCAAUACUUGUCCCUAAGAAACAAUUCGUGUGUUGGCCAUCUUCUUGCUAACAUAUGCGACAAUCUUCCAAAUCUAAAAGAGCUCGAUCUGUCUCGGAAUCAAUUGAGUGGCCAGAUGCUAUCAGGUUUAUCAAACUGCUCCGGACUCAAGUCGUUAGAUUUGUCAUUCAACCAGUUCAAUGGUUACAUACCAAAAGCGGUGGGGAACUUGAAAAUGCUUGAGGAGCUACAUCUCGACAAUAACAUCUUGAAAGGUUACUUUCUUGUUUUCUUAAUCUUUAUUCAGUUCCAUAUUUACAUUUUGUCACUGUAUAAUUAUCUUAAUUUCAUGUGCUACAAUCUCUUGAUCUUUGGCCCUUUUAAACAUUUAUUUAAAGUUAAAGAGAUUUAGGUGUUUAGGUGAUCCCCUGAAACGAAACUCUGAAUCUACCCACGAAAGCAGCAACACGGUUCUAUGCCACCCACAAUCUUCAAAACCUCCACAUUGGAAUUUAUUGAUUUUGCAGAAUAACAAUUAUCUGGUAAUAUUCCUACUGAUAUAUGCCACAGUAUUCCAAAUGUAAAAGAGCUCUAUCGCCUUUGGAAUCAGUUGAAUGGUCAACUAGUAGCAGGUUCAACAAAAUGCUCUAUCGACUUGGGGUAUUGUGUUUGGUCAUUCAACCAGUUCAACGGAUAGAUACCAAAAAGAAGUUGGAAAUUUGAAAAUGCCAGUAUCUAUAUCUUGGCACUAACAGUUCGCGGGAGGGGGGGAUGGGGUGGUUGUAUUAGAAGGGUAUAAUUGUCUUUUUAAUUGAACCACUAGCAAGGGACCAAAAGUAAAUCAAAAUUAAUGCUAAGGUAAACCAUAGCAAGGGAGGAAUUAUGUAUUUAUAAUUAAAAUUAUUCUUUAUGUAUUGCGCUAUUUAAAUUUUGUCACACUACAAUGUAAUUACAUUUAGUCUGUGAGUGCUACAAAUCUCUUUGAUUUUGGGCCUUGUAAACAUUUAUCUAUGAUUUCGGGCCCAAAAAAAAAGCAUACAUUUAGUUCUAACGAAUUGGUGGUAAUUCCUCCCAAGUUUCGCAGGUAGCAUUCCGGAAGAGAUAGGCAAUCUCCAGAGCUUGAGGGCCUUGUCCAUAGAAAGCAGCAAUUUGAGUGGAUCAAUACCCAGGGAAAUUGGAAACCUAACUAUGCUUGAAGAAGUACAUUUUUCUUACAACAGACUGACAGGUAACAAAGUGGCGAGUAAUCCAAAACUAUUUUAGUAGGAAAAUUUGCCUUAAUUUUAACUUGGAGGGGCAAACUGACAUGAAAUUAAUGAACUUCAAGUUGCCAAAAAUCCUCUUUUUUAAAUUUUUUUUGAAUUUUGUCAAUUUUAGAUAUACAAUUUUUAUCGGUGGAAUUAUAUAACAUGUUCCUGAAUUUGGAAGUUUAUAUCUACAGAUAAACUUUUUCGAAAAAUUCCCCACUUUAAAUUUUUUACGUAGGGAUCAACAAACUCAAUGGGCAAAUACUAUGCUUAAGAAGCUGUAUCUAGAUGAUAGGUAUAUAUGUUAAUUUUCAAUGAAUUGUAAUCCUGAAUUUGGUGCAACUUUUGGAGUAUAUUUAAAUGAGAUUGGUUUUUGUUUAUGGAUCGACAGGUCCGAUUCCAAAUGAGAUUGGCAACUUGCUCAAAUUGGAGAGCCUUAACUUGGAUGAGAAUAGCUUAAGUGGUUCGAUACCAGUUGGGAUCUUCAACAUCUCAACUUUGAGGGAACUCUACCUUUCUUACAAUCAUUUAUCUGGCGUUCUUCCAUCAAAUAUGUGCCAUGGCCUACACAAUUUGGAAGCUAUUCUUCUUGGUGGGAAUAACUUCAGCGGAGCCAUACCCGCCUCUAUCUCAAACUGUUCGAAACUAAUUGGAAUAUCUCUUGGUGAUAACAAAUUCAGCGGUCCAAUUCCCAAUUCCAUUGGAAAUUUGAGACGCCUCGUAGUUCUAUAUCUGUGUGCUAACAAUUUGACGAGUGAAUCUCCGUCCCCAGAAUUGGGCCUCUUCACUUCCCUCACAGGUUGCAUCUCUUUAAUGGAUAUCGAUGUAGGAGACAAUCCGUUGAAUGGGGUUCUUCCGAGAUCCAUCGGGAAUCUUUCUAUUUCUGUUGUAGAUUUGGAUGUAGGGAACUGUGGACUUAAGGGGAACAUUCCAGACAGCAUUGGAAACUUGAGCAAUUUAGCAAGUUUAGGUCUCGAUGACAAUAGUUGGACUGGAUCAGUUCCCAAUACAAUAUGGGGUUUGCAAAAGCUUUGGAUUUUGGAUCUUAGCAAUAUUUCCCUCACUGGUCCGCUCCCUCGUGGUCUCUGUGGUUUGCAGAGUUUGGAGUAUUUAGGCCUAAGUCAAAAUCAGAUUAGCGGUUCAAUUCCAGAAUGUUUCAAUAAUCUUACAUCUUUGAAAUAUCAUAACAUAGCUUUCAAUAGAUUAACCUCUACUCUGCCAUUGAGCUUGUGGGAUCUUAAAGGUCUCAAGGAGCUCAACUUGUCGUCGAAUUUAUUGAGAGGGCCCUUGGCUCCAGAGAUGGGAGGAUUAAAGAAUUUGACAAGGUUAGAUUUGUCAAACAAUCAGUUUUCAGGCAAAAUUCCCAGCACCAUUUGGAGUUUAGAGAGUUUGGACCAC